CCUACGGGGGGCAGCAGUGGGGGAUAUUGCACAAUGGGGGGAACCCUGAUGCAGCGACGCCACGUGGGUGAAGGAGGGCUUCGGCAUGUAAAGCCCUAUCGGCAGGGAAGAAGCAAGACGGUACCUGACUAAGAAGCCCCGGCUAACUACGUGCCAGCAGCCGCGGUAAUAUGGAGGGGGCGAGCGGCAUCCGGAUUCACUGGGGGUAAAGGGAGCGUAGAUGGUUUGUUAAGUCAGUUGUGAAAGUUUGCGGCUCAACCCCGGGCUGCCGGUGAAACUGGCGGCCUCGAGUGGGCGAGAAGUAUGCGGAAUGCGUGGGGUAGCGGUGAAAUGCAGAGAUAGCACGCAGAACUCCGAGUGCGAAGGCAGCAUACCGGCGCCCGACUGACGCUGAGGCACGAAAGCGUGGGUAUCGAACAGGAUUAGAUACCCCGGUAGUC
rnacentral:rRNA from 1 species